AGGUAUUGUGUCCAACUACUACUAAAUAAUAAUAAUAAUAAUAAUAAUAAUAAUAAUUGGUCAUGGAAGGUGCCACCAGCCCUGAAGCAGCUGCAGCUCUGGACACCUUAGGAAUUCCUUUCUGCUUUGAAGACUCUGGUGGCCCACCUUUAUGUGUGUCUGAUGGGGAUUCAUGCCCUCUAUAUUAUCCCAGGAGACCAUAUCUACGAUGGUCCACAACACAAGACUGUCUGCAGAAAACAUACUCUGUCAGGACCAGCUUUCAGCAUACAAACUCACAUUCAUUUUUGUGUUAGUCAGCUUUCCUUGACUCUAACAAAUACCUAAGUUAAUACAUUUAUAAAGAGCAAAUAACUUUUUUCUUUUUUUAUUCUGUUUUUUUUUUUUGUUGUUGUUGUUUGUUUGUUUGUUUUGUUUUUUUCUUUUUGGUGGGCAGGGGGAUGCCAGCAAUUGACCUCAGGGUCACUCAAUCACGGAGCCAGAUCCCCAGCCCUAUUUUGUAUUUUAUUUAGAGACAGGAUCUUACUGAGUUGCUUAGUACCUCACUUUUUGCUGAAGCUGGCUUUGAACUUGAGAUCCACCUGCCUCAGCCUCCUGAACCACUGGGAUUAUAGGCAUGCACCAUAGCUCCUGGAAAGAAAAGGAUUCUUUUGGCUCACAGUUUUGAAGUCCAUGACUGCUUGACCCCAUUGCAUUUGGGCUUGUGGUGAGGGAGCACAUCAAUACAGGAGGUUGUGUUAGGAAACCCAUUCACCUCAAGGCCAUGUGUAACAGAAGCAGACAGAAAAAGACUGAGGUUCUAUAAUUCUUUUGGGAGGACACCCUCAGUUACCUAAACCUCUACUUUGCACCAUUGCACCAUUGUUAUCUCUCUCUCUCUCUCUCUCUCUCUCUCUCUCUCUCUCUCUCUCUAUCUCUCUCGAUUAAAUCCAAGAGUGUUCUACCACCUAGAUAUACACCAGUGCUUUUUGACAUUUAUUUUUAAUCAGGUUUUUCUAAGUUUCCAAGGCUGGCCUUGAACUUGUGAUCUUCCUACCUUAGCCACCUGAGUAGCUGGGAUUACAGACUCCCCUAAGCUCUGCUGGGUCCCACCUCUCAAAGGCUCCACAACCACCACCCAAUAGCAUCAAGCCAUGGACUAAGCCUUUAACUCAUGGGCACUGGAUAGAUAUUCCAGGUUAGAGACCAGCAGUUAAGCCAUAGCAGCUUACUUGCUGGUCUCUAAUCUUCUGUAUUCUCAGGAGAAAUUUUACACAAUUCCUGUGCCUCCACCUCUCCAGUCUCAGAGAAUGAAACUCUCCACAUCCUCUCAAAGAAGCUGGACUAGAGGUGCAGAAAUAGGUAAAACACCCCCAAAUUUAGAGUAUGCAUGUGUUUAUCAGAAGGUGAAUAACAGUCUAAUGUUUGUAAAAUCCUCUAAUACCUAUUCUUUUAUAUCCUCUUUGUGGACUAGGGAUUUGUGAAGCUGGCAGGAUUUGAACAGUGAGACAAGUUCUAAAGCUUUGUCUGUAGAAAUUUUUAUCUUCAUUUGAUAACUCACUUGGUGCUUUUGCAGCUUUGAAAUCUCGGUGCUACAUUGUUAUUUCCUCAGGCAUGACCCUUCUUAUCUAUUGGGGUUUUGGUUUUGGGGGAGAUGCAGUGACAUCAAUGAUGCUUGCUAGGUCCCAAGCAGAGUGUCCAACACUUAUUAAGACUCAGAUACUGAUACAUUAUUCCCCCCAAAUUACUGUGCCCUAAAAAGGAUGUAGCACAUCAGAAACAUUCCAUAAAUGUUGAUGAAUGAUUUAAAGAUAUACCUCAGUGUAUUUCAAGACAGAUUAAAAUAAGUGCUAAGUAGCUACAAGUUUUGUAUGGUGACAACCAAGGGCAGUGACAGGUAAUUCUGCCUGGUGCAUCCUGAGGAAGUUUUGGCCAGGAAAUUGCCUUUGGGAUUUGAAUCACUGGAAAUGGAGCAUAUGGGUCAUGCAGAUUGGCUUUCAUUUAUGGGUGGCACUGGGUUAUUAUUUGGACCAAAUCAUGUUUCUUUGUGGGCCAGCCUCUCUCCCGUGGAGCUCUUUCCAUUAUACGUGAUAAAAGAUUGACUUUAACCAACUUAAACAGCAAAGGGAAAGAUUUUCUAAAAGUGCAAUGUGGAAGCACAGGUUUCAGCAGAAGGCCAGCUUGAUUUAGGCUUUUGGAUGCCACCAGGACCCACUUUGCAAUUCUGGUUAUUCUCAAUACAGAUAUCAUUCUCAGUCCAGUAUACAGCCCCUAUCUGGGGGAAAAAGGUGUUAGGCACUUCCAAAACUGCCUAGUUCCAGUUCAAAUCCAGUGAAAUGAAAGUCCAGCAUGUCUCCAUUUUUGCCUCCCCCACAGCAGUCCUGACAUCUGAUAUAAUCACCUGGCCUCAGUUCCAUGGCUCUGCCUAGAAGAUUCCUAUGAGUGGAGGUGCUGCUAGGGGCUUCACCCUAAGAUGAGGCACCAGAAUCUCCUGAAUUGAUAGUUGGAAGAGGUGCCACCUGGGAAGGAAGGAGGAGCUUCCAGCAGAGACAGCCAGCAGAGGGAUACUCCAAGUACUUAUUUAUUACUACGAGACACCAGCCACACUCUGGGGCCACAGCUGCACAGCUUCCAACCCUAACUCACCAGGUGCAUGACCUUUUGCAAAGUACAUCAUUUCUCUGUGCUUCAGUUUCCUCAUCUGCAGAAAAGAAAUAGUAA
rnacentral:lncRNA from 1 species